rnacentral:lncRNA from 1 species
GGCGGCGAGGCCGGGGGCUGUGGACCGGCCCGCCGGGGAGGGGCCAGGGAGAGGGGGGCGGCCCCUCGGUCAGCGCGGCCCGGAGGCCAGACCCGGUGCCCAGCUCCCCAGCGGGCGCCUGCCCUGGGCUGUAGUACGGGAGCCUCGGCAGUCUCGGGCGAGAGUUUCGGGAGAGGGUCCCGAGAUCCCGCCUUGCGGGGUUCGGAACCCGGCCCUGGCCCGCGACUCGGACCUACCCCGAGCAGGGCCCCGGUGAGGCCGCGGUGCCCCCGCUUUCAGAGCCCCGCCGCGCGCGGAACCGCAGGAGCAGGACGUCCACCGGCGGUUUGCGAGCGGCGGGCUCGGGAUUCUAGGCUUCUCCUAUUGUGACUAUUUGUAGUUUGUAAGUUUUUUUCUAGUGAACACUGUGGUGCUUUUUCAUUAAGAGCGGCGAUUUUUUCAAGGCGCCUGCAGAAGUUGAGCGGCCCGGCCCCGCAGUGUGAGCGGCCCCUUUCCAGACUGCAGGACUGCGCGUUCCUGGGCCCGGGACCCGGCUCCUCCUCCCUCGGCUCCCCGGCCGGCCCCGCCCCGCCCCCGCCCAUGCCCCGCCCUCCACUCCUGACCCCGCCCCUCCCCCGGCUGCGGCGAAAAUCCGGAGUGGCGGAUUGCCCUCUGCUCCGCGGGAGCCGGCUGUGGGCUCCUGCAGGAGCGGUGCCGGGGGUGCGGCUGACGCCGCUCCGCGCUCCCUCUUCUCACUCUGUCCUGGGCGAGCCACGCGGGGCAGCGCCGCGACCCCAGCCGCCGGCCCUGCCUCAGAAGCGGGUCAGGACCCGACUGAGCAUGCUCGCCCUCCAGCGCAGCGUGGCUCGACCAGGUGGACGCUGCCGGGACCCGGGGUCGGACCGCGCAGGGGAGGCGCAGGUGCGUGGUCCGGCCGCAGGUGCAGGGGACCUGGCUGGAAGGCGGGGGAGGGGCAUCUGGCCUGCAGAACCUCGCUCCACCUCGGAUGCGCUUGAGGUGGGCAUAGGAAUUUGCUUCGAAGCCUGUAACGGAAAAGAAGACGGGAAUGGAGGGCUUACAGGGAAGAGAUUUCACAGGUUCUAGAUGAAUAAAUUCAACCCAGACAGAUGCUUUCAGGCUUGCCAGCCAGCCUGUCCCAGCUCUGCGUCUCUCCAGCUUCCUUCCUAAAUCACCACCACCACCUGCCCUAGGAGUGGAGCCCUUGGGUUGGAGCCAGCUGAUUGGAUGUGAGCUCUAAGGUGAGCGUUUUGCUCAAGAACUGUAGCUGCUAGAAGGUAUAUAACAUCUCAUUCAGAUGCCAGGAAAAGAAGAAGUGGGGUGGAGAUGUUUGUGCAUCUAACGGGUGGGUGGCGGGAAUGACAAUGACAUAAAUCUCCUAAUUCCAUAAGGACGUGGGACUCUCUGCUGACUGGGUCUUAGAACACUGGUAAAUUGUUCCACAGCAGUAGAAAGGGAUGCGGGGUUUUUAGGACACAUCCUAAGGAGAUCCCAUUCUUGUCGGUAUUCCACGUGCAUGCACAGACAACAGCUAAAAGGAAAUGAUGAUACAUGUUGGGGGUGAGGGAGCCAGUCGCUUUUAAUUUAUUCCUUAUACUUCCUGGAUUAUGUGAGAAAAAUUUAAAUAGCACAUAUUAAUUUAAUAAUCAGAUGGGGAAAAAUAGAGAUCUUAGAAGCUGAGAAAGAAAAUCAUUAAGGGUCUAUCCUACAUACCUCUAAGGACUGUGGUCAAUUGAAAUGAUGUAGCUGAAACAAAAGAGUUUUUGAAAGUUGUGCGGUGUCUUAAGAAAACAGUGUGGUAUAUUUUUCUAUNGCAUAUGGAGGUUCCCAGGCUUAGGGUCGAAUCGGAGCUGUGGUGGCCGGCCUAUGCCAGAGCCACCACAACACAGCAUCCGAGCUGCGUCUGCGACCUACACCACAGCCCACGGCAACGCUGGAUCCUUAACCCACUGGGCGAGGCCAGGGAUCGAACCCACAACCUCAUGGUUCCUAGUCGGAUUUGCUAACCACUAUGCCACAACAGGAACUCCAUAUCCUACAUGCCUCUAAGGACUGUGGUCGAUUGAAAUGAUGUAGCUGAUACAAAAGUGUUUUUGAAAGUUGUGCAAUGUUUUAAAGA